GACGAACGCUGGCGGCGUGCUUAACACAUGCAAGUCGAACGGAAAGGCCCUGCCUUUGUGGGGUGCUCGAGUGGCGAACGGGUGAGUAACACGUGAGUAACCUGCCCUUGACUUUGGGAUAACUUCAGGAAACUGGGGCUAAUACCGGAUAGGAGCUCCUGCUGCAUGGUGGGGGUUGGAAAGUUUCGGCGGUUGGGGAUGGACUCGCGGCUUAUCAGCUUGUUGGUGGGGUAGUGGCUUACCAAGGCUUUGACGGGUAGCCGGCCUGAGAGGGUGACCGGCCACAGUGGGACUGAGAUACGGCCCAGACUCCUACGGGAGGGAGCAGUGGGGAAUAGUGCACAAUGGGCGGAAGCCUGAUGCAGCAACGCCGCGGGCGGGAUGACGGCCUUCGGUUUGUAAACCGCUUGCGCCUGUGACGAAGCGUGAGUGACGGUAAUGGGUAAAGAAGCACCGGCUAACUACGUG
rnacentral:rRNA from 1 species